rnacentral:misc_RNA from 1 species
UCCGGUUUGUCACCGGCAGUAUCCCAUGAGUCCCCGGCCGAACCUUACCAGCCUUUGACAUCCUGGUCGCGGGGAGAGGAGACUCACCCCUUCAGUUCGGCUGGACCAGUGACAGGUGCUGCAUGGCUGUCGUCAGCUCGUGUCGUGAGAUGUUGGGUUAAGUCCCGCAACGAGCGCAACCCUCGUCCUUAGUUGCCAUCAUUUAGUUGGGAACUCUAAGGAAACCGCCGGUGAUAAGCCGGAGGAAGGUGGGGAUGACGUAGACCUUGGACC